CUCAGACUCUCCCACUCCACCCUACGACACGGUUAUGCUACUCUCUGGGGGCAGGCAGUCCGUGGAGAUUGGAUAUAGUUCCCUGGCAACUCUACUUGUAGUUUUUUGAGGAAGCUCCCUACUGUUUCCCACAGUGGCUGCACCAACUUACAUUCCCGUCAACAGUGGAAGAGGGUUCCCUUUUCUCUACACUCUUCCCAGCAUU
rnacentral:lncRNA from 1 species